UACGGUAGGGGUGCGACGUUAUCCGGAAUGAUUGGGCGUAAAGCGUCCGCAGGUGGCUAUGUAAGUCUGCUGUUAAAGAGCAAGGCUCAACCUUGUAAAGGCAGUGGAAACUACAUGGCUAGAGUGCGUUCGGGGCAGAGGGAAUUCCUGGUGUAGCGGUGAAAUGCGUAGAGAUCAGGAAGAACACCGGUGGCGAAAGCGCUCUGCUAGGCCGCAACUGACACUGAGGGACGAAAGCUAGGGGAGCGAAUGGG
rnacentral:rRNA from 1 species